GUUCUUGCCUUGCUUAUAUUCACACAACUGUUACGUAUUCAUUACAAUUUUUGGAAAUACUUAACAUACAAUACAUCUACACCAGGAAAUAAUUGCAUAAUCAUGAAGUUAGUCUCAAGUUAGUUACAAUUGAUUGGUAUCUUACUUACAAUACAUCUAUUAAUUGCUAGUCAAAUAUAAGCUAACCACUGUGCUCCUAAACAAUGUAUCACUUAGCCUUCUGUCUCCCUCUUGUCAUGCAGAAGGAUCUAAAACUUGAAAAGUAUCCCCUCAUUUUGCAGGUGUCACAAAGCAUCUAUCAUGUCAAUGGGUUAAUGAUGAGUAUGUCUUUUGUAACUUAAUGACAGUAUGCAUUAAUUUAGCAGCUUCUCUUCAGUAUCAGUAAUGCUGCAUCAAUAAUACCAUAAUGAGGGCUACCAAAGGAAAGCUAGAAACAUUCCCUGUGAGAAAGGGUACACGACUGCUCACCACCAAGCACCACUACAGCACACAGCAGCCAAGGAUGCUGAUAUUAUUAAUGAAUUCUCUUCACCCAAACUUGCGGCCUGAUGACCUAACAAGAGGCACGUUUAAAUGAAGCAGAGAGGUAAAAUCCCUCUUGGCACUGCUCAGGGAGGGGCAGAGCCACCACCAGGACAAGGAUGAGCUAUUGCUGGUGACUAAAGGACUUUGUCACCCCCCAGAUUGCCCCAGUUUCCUCCCAGUUUGGCACUCAGGACAGAAAAUCGGUGCCUGCUCCACACUCGCACUCUCAAACCCCUUCGUGAUGGACUGUGGUGCCUGGGCAGGGUGGAGGGGACGCAGCCCUGCCUGGUGGUCCAGAGCAGGCACGGUGUGCCACGCUGUCCCCCCUGCCCCGAGACACCCAUUGUUGCUUCACCUCGGCUGCCCGUCCUCCCUGAGGACUGCCUGGCAAAGCCGAGUUUAACUCUCACCGGGGACCAACCUCCAGCCAUCCAGCCAGAAAGUGGGUGGAUCAGUAGAAUCCUGCUCUCAGCACAGGCAGAGACUGGGGGAUGUUGCUGAGAUUGUCCACAUUUCUAGAUCCAGUGUGGAAACUGUCCAGCCCUCUCAACACAAUGCACAUUGGAGCCGUGCCAAGGAGAGAGGUUGGAAAAGAAAGUCUUUCCUGUGUGUGAGUUUCUGUCAGGCAAGCUGGCACACUCAAAUUGGUUUUUACAGGAUUUUUUUGGCUCCCUGUAAGGAUUUAGCUACCACAACAGCGUUACUUACGAAUAACACCCAGACAAAGAAUUACCUGGCAAAGUCAGCCUAUUUAUGUAUAUUCUCACAGCUUGUCUGUAAUAAGUGAUGGUCAAAAUUGUUAAUGUUGAACAAAUCGAGUAGGAUUCAAUUGUAUUAUGCAUAUUGUUGUAAGCAGUAACUGCGCUUGUGCAAGUUUGAUUAUGUUUUGUAGAACCUUGUAGUAGUAGUUAAGCCAAUGCCUGGAUUGCCUGGAUGGUGCCAUAAAUAACAGGACUACCGGAUGGCGCCAUAAAUAACAGGACUCCCAGAUGGUGCCACAGAUAAUAGGAUUCCCAGAUGGUGCUACAGAUAACAGAGCGCCCGGAUGUUGCAACUGAUAACAAAAGUUCCAGAGACGGAAAUUCCCAGCACGUGAACGAGCGUAUAACAUAUAUAAGCACAUACGAAAAGUUGAUUGUGUGAGCCUGUUGGCGGAACUGAGCUUCCCCCGGUCACCCAGCGCUGUUUUGCCUCAUUACCACUUGCUAAAUAAAAUCGAUUGAUUGACUCAGAAUCGAUUUAUUGGCUCUUAUUUAUAACAAAUUUUGGUGCCGUGACUCGGAUUAAGUAUCUCUGGGAGGGACUCCUAAACUUCAGGGAGGCACCCCAUCCCGUUUUCAGACGGCCCUGGAGUGGAUGGAGGAUCGCCCUGAAACCUUAACCUCCGAACCCUAAAUUUAGGUAAUUAGGCAAAAGAAUUGAACCCCGUAAACCUUUGUGCACGAAGAACCGGACGAAGAUCCCGGGGAGGAUACCGCAGUCCGCACUGCGGAAAGAGGAUGGACACACGCUAGUCGAGUAAAAGGUCCUAUCCUACAUACAGACUGGGAAGUCACCGGGGAACCGGAUGAGUUGAAGCUGACCUUCAAGAGGAAACAGACACGUGACGCAUAGCCCUGGAUACUAGGCUUUUUAUGGACAAUUGUAAAGAAUUACAUAAGUCGCACAUUGCAUGUCCUGUAUGUAAGCAAUGCAAUCUGUGGGUACGUCGCGUGUGUAGCGGGUGCGGGAUACAGCAGUAAAAAAAAAAAAAAUUCCGUACGUUGAACGAUGUUGUAAUGAGUGUUGGGGAAAAACCUUAGAUACCAUUGGGAUAUUAAUAAUCAUCGAUAAGUCCAGACAUUUGGGAAAUAACCAAGAGGAAGUGUUCCAAACCCUGUGAGGAUUCGGGACAGUGGCAAAACCCUAGUAUUUGAAAAUAGCCCUAUUGGGUUGAGUAUUGGAAAGUGGGUUGUGACAGAACAAGGAGAGAAUUCAGGAGGCAGUCCCCUGAAGACUACAACUGCUGCCGAGAAGAUAACUUACCCGGCUACUCUGAAGCAACAGAGUAGGCCCAGGGCAAGGCAGAGGGGUAUCCUUGUGGGGAUUGGCAAGUGCCUCCGAAGACUUCUAAAAUAAAGCAGCUCCGUUAAGCAGAACAACCCUCAACGAAAUGAACCUCCACUGGCUGAUUUUCAGCCAACCAGGGGCCGGGUCGCUCUCCCUAAUCCUCCUUACCUUACCGGUAAUAAUGAAUAUAUAUAUUCCUUAACGUAACAGAUCCUGAACAUAGUGGAUGUUUUGAUGGAAAAACCUGGGGAAUGCGAUAUUAUCAACCGGGUGCUGAUAGAGGAGGCAUGUUUCUCAUAAAGAAAGAAGAAGUUAAACCGACCUCUCGAGCGAUAGGUCCCAAUCCAGUAGUAAAAUCCCCUCCCCCUCUAGGUAGGGAGACAAAGACAGUAGAGAAGGAGAAUAUAAUAGUAAUAGAGGAAACUGUCACUGAAGCCUUGAAAUCUCUGAAUAUUGAAGCCCCGGAAUCUUUGAAUCCUCUAUGGGGAAUUAUCCUGGCUGCUUAUCAAACUCUAAACUAUACUCAACCCAACUUAACCAUGGGUUGCUGGUUGUGUUAUAAUGUUAAUCCACCCUUUUAUGAAGCUAUAGGGGAUAAUCGUCGGUAUACCAUAAACAAGGAGUCUGUGCCUAUUCAAUGUCCUUGGGAAAGCAGAAAAGAGGGAUAACUAUGCAACAUGUAACUGGGAAAGGGACUUGUAUAGGUAAAGUACCAAAUUCCAAGAGACCACUUUGUGGGAAUAUCGUACCGAGCCUUAAUGAAACCACAGGAUAUAUUAUUCCCCCGAAUGGAACAAAAUGGAUAUGUUCUAGGACGGGACUUACUCCAUGUGUGUCUUUAAAGGUGUUCAACAGUUCCCGAGAGUAUUGCAUGUUAGUUACCAUCAUCCCAAGGAUAUUGGAUCAUCAAGAAAAUGUGAUGUAUGAUAUUUGGGAUACAGGACUCCAUCGUACCAAACGGGAACCCAUUACAGCCAUUACUAUAGCCAUGUUGCUAGGGUUAGAGGUAGCCGGAGCAGGAACAGGGAUAGCUUCACUUGUUCAACAAAAUCAAGGAUUCAAUUCCUUGAAGACUGCUAUAGAUGAGGACCUAGAGAGAAUUGAAAACUCCAUAACCGCCUUAGAGAGAUCUCUAACCUCGCUAUCUGAAGUGGUGUUGCAAAACAGGAGAGGGAUGGAUCUCCUUUUCUUACAGCAAGGUAGACUAUGCGCAGCCUUGAAGGAAGAGUGUUGUUUUUAUGCAGAUCACACAGGGGUAGUCCGAGACUCGAUGGCAAAAUUAAGGGAGAGACUGGAACAGAGAAAAAGAGAAAGAGAAGCUGCAAAAGGGUGGUACGAGUCUUGGUUUAUUCAGUCCCCGUGGCUAACUACAUUGCUAUCCACAGUAGCUGGACCCUUGAUGAUAUUAUUACUCACCCUAACCUUUGGACCCUGUAUCCUAAAUCGACUUAUUGGACUAGUUAAAAACCGUGUAGAGCGGGUACACCUUAUGCUGCUACAGAAACAUGGAACUGAUGAAGAAGCUGAAAUGACCUUACUAGCCCAAAAAGCGGUAACUCGAUUUGAUCGACAAAUAAAUGAGUAAAAAAAAAAAAGGGGGGGGGGGAAUUGUAAUAAGUGAUGGUCAAAAUUGUUAAUGUUGAACAAAUCGAGUAGGAUUCAAUUGUAUUAUGCAUAUUGUUGUAAGCAGUAACUGUGCUUGUGCAAGUUUGAUUAUGUUUUGUAGAACCUUGUAGUAGUAGUUAAGCCAAUGCCUGGAUGGUGCCAUAAAUAACAGGACUACCGGAUGGCGCCAUAAAUAACAGGACUCCCAGAUGGUGCCACAGAUAAUAGGAUUCCCAGAUGGUGCUACAGAUAACAGAGCGCCCGGAUGUUGCAACUGAUAACAAAAGUUCCAGAGACGGAAAUUCCCAGCACGUGAACGAGCGUAUAACAUAUAUAAGCACAUACGAAAAGCUAAUUGUGUGUGCCUGUUGGCGGAACUGAGCUUCCCCCGGUCACCCAGCGCUGUUUUGCCUAAUUACCGCUUGCUAAAUAAAAUCGAUUGAUUGACUCAGAA